rnacentral:lncRNA from 1 species
GCAGGAUUGAUUGAGAGUUUAGAAAAAUGACUGACAGAUGAAUCAGAUGUGAAUGUCUCAGGUUUUAUUUACACUGUCUAAAUCAGAUCUUCAUCUUUCAACUGGAUUCUGACAGUAUCUAUGUUUUCUCUUGCUUCAUUGUUACUCUUUGUAUCAGUCUGCAUUUUGUUAGUGAAACAAAAUAUUUGAGUCUGGAUAACUUAUUCAACAAAGAAGGUGAUUUAACUCAGAGUUAUGGGUGUUGAGAGUCCAAAUACCAUGUCACUAACUUCCUCUGCCUCUCUCCCUCUUUUCAGCCCAUUUGCAUGGUGGUGGAAAUGCAGGGAGUAUCAGCUGUGAGCAAUGCUGCAUUCAGACUUUGUGGAAUCAGAAGCUUAAUCAAUCUGAAGGACCCUCAUUGAGGAAAAGAAUGCAAAUUAUAAAUAUAAAAUUAGAAAUAAAUUUUAAAUUAUAUUUAGAAUGCAAGAG